UUUACUUUUCUAGUUGCAGGACUUUCAUUCAGCCAGCUUUCCGGCAGUUCUGGAUGAUGUUUGUUCUGUAUUUUAGUUGUAAU
rfam:Myotis lucifugus cont2.1951, whole genome shotgun sequence.